rnacentral:lncRNA from 1 species
AACUUGGAAGCCCGCGCAAGCAGCUGGAAGGGGUGCUGUGAUUACAGCCGCGUGAAGGCAUGCGCGCUGGGGCCUGGCCAGCGGGGUGCCUGGAGAGUGGUCAUCCCCUCUGGAAGAUGAAGUAACAGGGCACCAUCUUGGAAGCAAAGAGAGCAGCCCUCGCCAGACUCCAAGUCUGCUGGAGCCUUAAUCUUGGACUUCCCAACCUCUAGAGUUGUGAGAAAAUAAAUUUCUAUUUAUAAUUUACCCAGUCCAUGGAGUUGUGUUACAGCAGCACAAGUGGACUAAGACGCUGUCAACACUUGUUAAUUUCUGUUGUUAUGCCAUCGUAGUGGUUGUAAACUGAUAUCAUGUUGUGAUUUUGAUUUGCAUUUCCCUGAUGAUUAGUGAUGUUGAGCAUCUAUCUGUUCAUGUGCUUGUUGGCCCUUUGUGUAUCUUCUUUGAAUAAAUGUCUAUUCAAGUUCUUUGUCCAUUUUUAAGCUGGGUUGUAUGUCUUCAUUGUUGUUAGGUUGUAACAGUGCUUUAUACGGCCAGGUGCGGUGGCUCACGCUUGUAAUCCCAACACUUUGGGAGGCCCAGGCAGGCGGAUCACCUGAGGUCAGGAGUUCGAGACCAGCCUGACCAACAUGGAGAAACCCCAUCUCUACUAAAAAUACAAAAAAAAUUGGCUGGGUAUGCUGGCACACGCCUGUAAUCCCAGCUAGUCAGGAGGCUG